rnacentral:lncRNA from 1 species
GCUUACACUCGCCACAAGCUACAUCAGAGUCACAUCAGUACAUUACAUAAUCAUCAAGAGUAAGAGCAGGGUCCGACUACGGACGAAAACAAACGAGAAAAAAAAUAAGAACGACGUCCAUCCUUGCUAUCCCAGGCUGCCGGCCUGGAACCCAUCCUAGAUCGAUGAUGAAGAAGAAGAAGAAGCAACUCCAAAUGAACAAACAACGCGCUC